rnacentral:rRNA from 1 species
UACAGAGGUCCCAAGCGUUGCUCGGAAUCACUGGGCGUAAAGGGUGCGUAGGCGGGUCUUUAAGUCAGGGGUGAAAUCCUGGAGCUCAACUCCAGAACUGCCUUUGAUACUGAAGAUCUUGAGUCCGGGAGAGGUGAGUGGAACUGCGAGUGUAGAGGUGAAAUUCGUAGAUAUUCGCAAGAACACCAGUGGCGAAGGCGGCUCACUGGCCCGGUACUGACGCUGAGGCACGAAAGCGUGGGGAGCAAACAGG